rnacentral:lncRNA from 1 species
AUAGUUUAAAAAUAAUAAAAAGGGAAAUAAAGGACAGGAAAGAAAAAGAAAGUAAGGGUACUAGGGGUUAAACCCCUGACCUUGGGGUCAUGGGAUCAACACCCAUCCACUUAGCCAAGCGCUUUGUGGUGUUAAUCAGCGCGCCCAUAAAAUAAAAUAUUAAAACAUAACACUAAAUGAAACACACGCGUUAAUGAACAAAUCAGAAGCAAAGACAAUAUUUUUUCACAUUCAAAUGUGCGCGAGGUAACGAACACGUGAGGUCGUCUUCAAC